rnacentral:lncRNA from 1 species
GAGUCUUUAAAUAAAUCUGACACAAGGAACACAAUGAACCUGCAACUGACAUAAAGAAGAGGCUGGGGUGUAAAAUUGAUUAUUGAUGCCUGGACAGAAAGGAUAUGGACUUCAAUGGAAUCCACAAGGGAAGCAGAGCAGGAAACGAGUAGAGAAGCAAGGAGCCGACUCAGCAUCAGCCUCUGAGUUGGGCAACUUAUCAGUUAUAAAAUAAAAAGACUCAAAUGUGAGAUGAGAAACGGUAUACGAUGUUCAAGGGAAUGAGAGGACACUCAAGUAAUGGGAGUUAAAUGAGAAGGAUCGAAACAAGAGGAGCUUGCAAGUGUGUCACCUAGAACUGCAGUGACUACUGACUUGUCUGCCUGAAUUACAAGUAAGAUAUAUUUAUUUUGAUCAGAUUUAAAGAUUUAUAUGUACUAGUUUGAAA